AAUCCUGAGGAUGCUUCUAAGGUAAUCCCUUCUUGGUAACCAUAUAUUGUUCUUGUAGACAAUUUUUAAAGUUUGGAAUGUGUUGGUGAAGAUCCAAAAAUGGUUAAAAAGAAAAUUUAGGAAGCCUUGAAUGCGGUUGGUCUUCAAAGUUCAUUUGAAGAUGGAGAAAGCUCUGGAAAAUUAUAUUAAAAUUAUUUCUUUUUACCAUAGUGUUGGAAUUGUUUGAUCAUGUUGUUUACAUUAUACCUUUUCUAAUGGGUUGUGACAUUGAGUGCGUCACUUUCUUUAAACUUGUUUAGAAAAUGAUGUUGAAUGUUUAAAUAGGAUUCUUAGGUAUUUCUUUUUCUCUCUGAUAAUAUUUGUGCCUAAUACCUACUCCAGCAGCGUGCUGUUUAUACCUGCUUAAGUUAAAGCUUAAACGUCAGAGUCAUGGGCAGUUCUUGUACGGUAGAGUUGAUGGUUCUUUUUUUUUCCAUAUAUAGUUGACAUAAGUGACAUAAUGUGUUCUAGAUUUUUUAAAUUUAUUUACUUGAUUGCACCCUUUUUCCAACUUUUCUAUUUUAAUUCUAAUUUAAUUACAGAGAAGCUACUAAAGAUGAUUCCCUAGUUAUGUUCACCUUACUUGUAGGCGUCACUUAUAGGUUCUCAUUUCUUACUUAAUUAUUUGAAAAUGAGUUGUAUCUUCUGUCUAAACAUGCAGUGAGAUCAUGAAACAAGUGAGGUCAGUAAUUGAAAUUACAUGGUAUGGCAUCAAUUCUUACAGUCACAGGUCAGUGUGUCACAGAGAUUGCAAUUUACCAGGGGAAAUUUGAUAUUGGUACUCCCUGUAUGGAGAAGUAAUUGCUGGGCUGGCAGGUUUUUGGCACGUCCUGUCAGUGGCCUGAAGAAAGAGGGACAGUAAUAAAACACUAUCUUAAGGCAGAGUAUAUGUUGAGUGCUGAAGGCAAACCAAUUAUUACUUUUAUAUUAAUUUUGAAAUUUCUAAGUUCUUUUACAUUUUAUAUUGUAUUCUAUCAGUGAAUUGAAAUGUUUCUGAUUGUGGGGGAAUAAAGUUCUGAGUUUAGGUUGCCAUCUUCAUUUUUUUUCUUAUUUAAUUGAAUUUAAUGAAGGUACCUAAGGGAAAUCCAUAU
rnacentral:misc_RNA from 1 species